GUGGGGAAUCUUGCGCAAUGGGCGAAAGCCUGACGCAGCCAUGCCGCGUGAAUGAUGAAGGUCUUAGGAUUGUAAAAUUCUUUCACCGGGGACGAUAAUGACGGUACCCGGAGAAGAAGCUCCGGCUAACUUCGUGCCAGCAGCCGCGGUAAUACGAAGGGGGCUAGCGUUGCUCGGAAUUACUGGGCGUAAAGGGCGCGUAGGCGGACAGCUUAGUCAGAGGUGAAAGCCCAGGGCUCAACCUUGGAAUUGCCUUUGAUACUGGCUGUCUUGAGUAUGGAAGAGGUAUGUGGAACUCCGAGUGUAGAGGUGAAAUUCGUAGAUAUUCGGAAGAACACCAGUGGCGAAGGCGACAUACUGGUCCAUUACUGACGCUGAGGCUCGAAAGCGUGGGGAGCAAACAGGAUUAGAAACCCUGGUAGUCC
rnacentral:rRNA from 1 species